GAUGAACGCUGGCGGCAUGCCUAAUACAUGCAAGUCGAACGGUAACGGGCCUUCGGGUGCCGACGAGUGGCGAACGGGUGAGUAAUGUAUCGGAACGUACCUUUCAGUGGGGGAUAACGUAGCGAAAGUUACGCUAAUACCGCAUAUUCUGUGAGCAGGAAAGCAGGGGAUCGCAAGACCUUGCGCUGAUUGAGCGGCCGAUGUCAGAUUAGCUAGUUGGUGAGGUAAAGGCUCACCAAGGCGACGAUCUGUAGCGGGUCUGAGAGGAUGAUCCGCCACACUGGAACUGAGACACGGUCCAGACUCCUACGGGAGGCAGCAGUGGGGAAUUUUGGACAAUGGGGGCAACCCUGAUCCAGCCAUGCCGCGUGAGUGAAGAAGGCCUUCGGGUUGUAAAGCUCUUUCGGCCGGGAAGAAAUCGCACGGGCCAAUACCCUGUGUGGAUGACGGUACCGGAAUAAGAAGCACCGGCUAACUACGUGCCAGCAGCCGCCGUAACAC
rnacentral:rRNA from 1 species